UAUACGUUUAGUUGUGAGAUGUUAACAGUUUUCCCCAAAAAACAGGCCUUCACGUGCGAAGUCAAAGUGGGUGGGGAACGCGACUACAUGUGUAUUUCGAGUCGCUGGAACUUCAUAAUAAAGCUGCUUUUGUGCAAUAUUCAGCGACGUUACCUGCUGUGCGUUAGACGAAACGAAAAUGCUUUGGUUUUGCAUCGUGUUUUGAGACUGUCAGGGUGACAUGAUGGAUAAAUUGCUGUUUGACUGACAAUAAAUGAACAUGUUUGUGUUUGGAGAUUGCUGAGGUUAAUAUCUUCACAAUUGGGAAAUCCUAACAUAAGUUGACUGCCAGUUUGACCACUGAUCUGCAUAAUAUCAGUGGGAGAGCAUGCUGAAUCUCGCAGCUUCUGCACCAUAUGUUUCCUGGCCGAGUGGUUGAAAGUUGCGACCACACAUUCCAUGGGUGAUGAUAUCUACCAAAAUUCUUGGCGGCACAGUUCUACCCUCGUCAGUUGCACUUGUCCGAGUCUUUCUCUGCCUCUCAACCAACUCGAGAUAUUCCCCCCCCCCAACUGCAUCCCGGCACAGCUUCACAUCAACCCAUCUAAUUAAUUUGUCGGAAAGGUUGACUACACAAAUUUCCUGUUUGGUUGUGGAGAUAGAAUCAUUUUUUUGUGAAAGUUUGAUUUCAGACACUUAAAAAUUGAAAUUGUCAUGUAUUAAUAGGCAUGGCAGGCAUUAGCAAAGCAUCUCAAUCAAGUAUUAAUUAUUUUACUUUGUCAAUGUUAAUUCAUUGUGUAUGCUAUUCACCUGUUUGCCUUGCUUUUUAUAAGAAUGACACAAAAAAGGAAAGCAUUUGUAAAGUAUUAGUGAAUAUUUGUCAUAAAUUCUUCUUUAACUUGAUCAAAUCUGUCAUAUUUUAUUUAAAAUGUGUUAAGUAUAUUUGUGUUACGUUUUAAAUGUUUAUCAUUACUGUUUUAAAUUGUGUUCAUCUGCAGCCAAUGAAUGGUAGCGGUGCACAUUUGUAUUUGUUUAUUUUUUUUCCAUUGAUUAAUGCUCAUUUAAUUUAUA